GUAUGAGUUGUUUACAUAUUGAGUUACUUUGUGUGUGGCCUUUAUCAUGUUGGGUUACUUUCCAAUGUGUACUUCUGGGCCUUCUCUCACAUUGUUGUCUUACCUUAAUGCACUUUCUCACAAAUUAGAUGAAAGUUCUGGUUACGGUAAAAGGAGGAAAGUAAAUAAUACUUUGCUGUCUCGGUUGCCAUUAAUUGGUGAAGCUCUUAAUUGGUAGGUUUAUUGAACAGUGGGACAAUUUUUUCACCGUUAGAUCUAUGUAUUUUAAAACGAAUCCAAUGGGUUGGGACGAAAGUUAGUACGAUGAACCCAUACCAAAAGCGUGUAUGCAUUAAUUGCUCGUCUUCUACGCUU
rnacentral:lncRNA from 1 species